AUUGAACGCUGGCGGCAGGCCUAACACAUGCAAGUCGAGCGGAUGAAGGGAGCUUGCUCCUGGAUUCAGCGGCGGACGGGUGAGUAAUGCCUAGGAAUCUGCCUGGUAGUGGGGGAUAACGUCCGGAAACGGGCGCUAAUACCGCAUACGUCCUGAGGGAGAAAGUGGGGGGUCUUCGGACCUCACGCUAUCAGAUGAGCCUAGGUCGGAUUAGCUAGUUGGUGGGGUAAAGGCCUACCAAGGCGACGAUCCGUAACUGGUCUGAGAGGAUGAUCAGUCACACUGGAACUGAGACACGGUCCAGACUCCUACGGGAGGCAGCAGUGGGGAAUAUUCGACAAUGGGCGAAAGCCUGAUCCAGCCAUGCCGCGUGUGUGAAGAAGGUCUUCGGAUUGUAAAGCACUUUAAGUUGGGAGGAAGGGCAGUAAGUUAAUACCUUGCUGUUUUGACGUUACCAACAGAAUAAGCACCGGCUAACUUCGUG
rnacentral:rRNA from 1 species